CCUACGGGAGGCUGCAGUGAGGAAUAUUGGUCAAUGGACGAAAGCCUGAACCAGCCAAGCCGCGUGAGGGAAGAAGGUCCCAUGCGUUGUAAACUUCUUUUGUCGGGGGACAAAAUCCGGCUCGUGUCCCGGACUGCGUGUACUUUAAGAACAAGCAUCGGCUAACUCCGUGCCAGCAGCCGCGGUAAUACGGAGGAUGCGAGCGUUAUCCGGAUUUAUUGGGUUUAAAGGGUGCGUAGGCGGUCCGUUAAGUCAGCGGUAAAAGUCCGGGGCUCAACCCUGACGAGCCGUUGAAACUGGCAGACUGGAGAGGGCGAGAGGUAGGCGGAAUGCGCGGUGUAGCGGUGAAAUGCGUAGAUAUCGCGCAGAACUCCGAUGGCGAAGGCAGCAUACCGGCG
rnacentral:rRNA from 1 species